rnacentral:lncRNA from 1 species
GCCGGCGAAGCGAGGGUGCCAACCAGCAGCGAACCAAGAACACGACCCCAGCGGCAAACUUUGUGCGCGACCUUAACGGCUAACCAAGCGCGAGACCCAGGUGGAGAAAUGAAGCCUUUGACUGCCGAGGAAUUGGAGCAGUACGAGUCCGUUUCGAAGUCCUCCGACUCUGACUCCGACGACGGCCUCGAAGAUGAGAAAGAGGAAAGCGACGAAGACGAGGAUGACGACGACGACGAUGAGGAUGAAGAUGACGAGGACGAUGUCCAGGAGGUCGUGCAGUCCUUCGGUGGCCCUCCGGUUCAGUCAAUAAACGAUGAGGACGACGAAGAAGACGAGGAAGACACUGAAGGAGGCGAUGACGACAACGACAACGACAACGGCGAGGGAGAUGACGACGACGACGAGGGCGAGGAUGAGGUAAUUAGCCG